GAUGAACGCUAGCUACAGGCUUAACACAUGCAAGUCGAGGGGUAACGAGAGGAAAGCUUGCUUUCCUUGUCGACGACCGGCGCACGGGUGAGUAACGCGUAUCCAACCUGCCUAUAACUAGGGAAUAACCUUGCGAAAGUAAGACUAAUACCCUAUGAUUUCCUUUGAUGGCAUCAGAUUAGGAAUAAAGAUUUAUCGGUUAUAGAUGGGGAUGCGUCUGAUAGCUUGUUGGCGGGGUAACGGCCCACCAAGGCAGCGAUCAGUAGGGGUUCUGAGAGGAAGGUACCCCACAUUGGAACUGAGACACGGUCCAAACUCCUACGGGAGGCAGCAGUGAGGAAUAUUGGUCAAUGGGCGGAAGCCUGAACCAGCCAAGUAGCGUGCAGGAUGACGGCCCUAUGGGUUGUAAACUGCUUUUAUACAGGAAUAAAGUUAGCCACGUGUGGUUAUUUGUAGGUACUGUAUGAAUAAGGACCGGCUAAUUCCGUGCCAGCCGCCGCUGUAAUAC
rnacentral:rRNA from 1 species